CCUACGGGUGGCAGCAGUGGGGAAUAUUACACAAUGGGGGAAACUCUGAUGCAGCAACGCCGCGUGAGUGAAGAAGUAUUUAGGUAUGUAAAGCUUUAUCAGCAGGGAAGAAGAUGACGGUACCUGAGUAAGAAGCUCCGGCUAACUACGAGCCAGCAGCCGCGGUAAUACGUAGGGUGCAAGCGUUAUCCGGAUUUACUGGGGGUAAAGGGAGCGCAGGCGGCACGGCAAGCCUGAUGUGAAAGCCCGCGGCCCAACCGCGGGACUGCAUUGGGAACUACCGGGCUGGAGUGCCGGAGAGGUAGGCGGAAUUCCUAGUGUAGCGGUGAAAUGCGUAGAUAUUAGGAGGAACACCAGUGGCGAAGGCGGCCUACUGGACGGUGACUGACGCUGAGGCUCGAAAGCGUGGGGAGCAAACAGGAUUAGAUACCCCGGUAGUC
rnacentral:rRNA from 1 species